UACGUAGGGUCCAAGCGUUAUCCGGAAUCACUGGGCGUAAAGCGUGCGUAGGUGGCGUGUUAAGUGUGAUGUUAAAUCGUGUGGCUCAACCAUAUCGAUGUGUCGCAUACUGGCAUGCUAGAGGGAAGCAGAGGCAAGUGGAAUUUGUAGUGUAGCAGUGAAAUGCGUAGAUAUUACAAGGAACACCAAUGGCGAAGGCAGCUUGCUGGCUUCGUUCUACCAGAGAGGUACUA
rnacentral:rRNA from 1 species